rnacentral:rRNA from 1 species
GAUGAACGCUGGCGGCGUGCCUAAUACAUGCAAGUCGAACGAAACUUCUUUAUUACCGUGUGCUUCCACUCACCGAUAAAGAGUUGAGUGGCGAACGGGUGCGUAACUCGUCGUCAACCUGCCCAAAAGAGGGUGAUAACACUUGGAAACAGGUGCUACUACCGCAUAACCAUAGUUACCGCAUGGUAACGAUGUAAAAGGUGCCCAUAGUACCUCAUCUGGUUGGGCGGGGGGCGUAUUAGCUAGUUGUUAGGGUAAAGCCGUACCAAGGCGAUGACGCGUAGACGAAGGGAGUGAUUGAUAGGCCACAUUAGAAGUGGAACACGGACCAAACUCCUGCGGGAGGGCGCAGUAGGGAAUGUGCCGCAAUGGGCGAAAGCCUGAUGGAGCAACGCCACGUGGGUGGAGAAAGUCUUCCGAUCGUAAAACCCUGUUGUUAGAGAAGAAAGUGCGUGGGAGUAACUGUACACGUAUCGACGGUAUCUAGCCAGAAAGCCACGGCUAACUACGUG